rnacentral:rRNA from 1 species
AACAGGAUUAGAUACCCUGGUAGUCACGCCCUAAACGAUGUCAACUAGUUGUUGGUAGAGUAAAAUCUAUGAGUAACGCAGCUAACGCGUGAAGUUGACCGCCUGGGGAGUACGAUCGCAAGAUUAAAACUCAAAUGAAUUGACGGGGGCCCGCACAAGCGGUGGAUUAUGUGGAUUAAUUCGAUGCAACGCGAAAAACCUUACCUGGCCUUGACAUGUACCGAAUUUACCAGAGAUGGUUUAGUGCUCGAAAGAGAACGGUAACACAGGUGCUGCAUGGCUGUCGUCAGCUCGUGUCGUGAGAUGUUGGGUUAAGUCCCGCAACGAGCGCAACCCUUGCCAAUAAUUGCCAUCAUUUAGUUGGGCACUUUAUUGGGACUGCCGAUGACAAAUCGGAGGAAGGUGGGGAUGACGUCAAGUCCUCAUGGCCCUUAUGGCCAGGGCUUCACACGUAAUACAAUGGUCGGUACAGAGGGUCGCCAACCCGCGAGGGGGAGCUAAUCCCAGAAAGCCGAUCGUAGUCCGGAUUGUUCUCUGCAACUCGAGAGCAUGAAGUCGGAAUCGCUAGUAAUCGCGGAUCAGCAUGUCGCGGUGAAUACGUUCCCGGGCCUUGUACACACCGCCCGUCACACCAUGGGAGUGGGUUUUACCAGAAGUAGGUAGUCUAACCGCAAGGGGGGCGCUUACCACGGUAGUAUUCAUGACUGGGGUGAAGUCGUAACAAGGUAACC